rnacentral:rRNA from 1 species
UACGGGGGGAGCAAGCGUUGUUCGGAUUUACUGGGCGUAAAGGGCGCGUAGGCGGCCUGUGCAAGUCAGUUGUGAAAUCUCCGAGCUUAACUCGGAACGGUCAACUGAUACUGCUCGGCUAGAGUGCGGAAGGGGCAACUGGAAUUCUUGGUGUAGCGGUGAAAUGCGUAGAUAUCAAGAGGAACACCUGCGGCGAAGGCGGGUUGCUGGGCCGACACUGACGCUGAGGCGCGAAGCCAGGGGAGCGAACGGG